rnacentral:lncRNA from 1 species
AUGACUCAAGUUGAGAAACACAACCGCGCACCACCACUCUAUCUCCCUAUCAGCUCCAUUUUUCCACGGGAAAAACCUAACAGGAAACUUCCCCAAAGCUCAGAGCAAAUACACGAUGAUGCUACUGCCAUGCGUCAGUGUCAGAUUUCGGGCGGCGGGCAGGGGUCAUUCGGCCCCGGGAGCCACAGCCCUUUUCCCUCAGCCCACAAUCGCCAGGGGGUCAGGGAGCUCCGGAGACCCGGCACGGUGUCCGGGGACAAGCACCUGUCACCGGGGUCACGGGGCUGCGGCGCGGCGCCCGGAUGUAGCAGCGGGGACGGCUGGACAGGGUCGCGGCCUCCCGUUGCCCUAGCUCCUCGGGACUCCGGCCUCACCUGCUGGGAGGCCCGCGGCUCCGGGGGGGCGGGCGGCCACGAGGGCACCGCAUCCCGGCCACCAGCUUCCCUGAGAUUCCGCUCCUUUCCGGGAGGCACGCGGCGCGCACCCGCCAGCGUCACGUCACAGCUCGCGCCGGCGCGCGCACGUAGGAAGCGAGACCGCGCGCGCUGGGGAAGACACACUCAUCAGGCCUGCCCAGCUGGAUGCUAUCAUGUAUGGCCCUGGGCUCACCCUUCUCUAAAAGACAGCUACUGAAGCCCAGAGAUGCUGCUGAGAAACACUGCUACAUCCCAAUCUGGAGUGGCCCAGCCACCUGUGGACUACAGCUGAUGGCCAGUCUCCUGCUUCUACAGAUUGCUGGGGGUGGCUGCUGAGAACCCCUGUCGCUGGGGCCUGUUUCUUCUGGGAGUUCUUGUUCUGUAGUCAACAGGGAGAGGAAGGGCUCUGUUGUUAUGUGACCUUUGUGGCCUCUGGUCUACUAUCACCAAGAUAGUAACACCUAGCUCCAGUAGCCAGAAAGCCUCUUAUACCCCAGGGUCUCUAUCUGAAUCAUCUUGUGAAAACAGAGCUCUGAGAGUAGGAAAUGCAAAUGUCUGAAUAGCAAUGUGUGUGUGUGUGUGUGUGUGUGUGUGUGUGUGUGUGUGUGUGUGUGUGUGUGUGUGUGUGUGUGAGAGAGAGAGAGAGAGAGUAUGUCUCCCACCUCUCCUGCCAUUAAACAAAGCUUUUCUUAUUGAAGAGUAAUGGAAACAUAAAAAAGAAAGCAAAAUAAUUUCUAUUAAGAACUGACAAGAUUUUGAUGCACAUCUUUGGUCUUUUUUUAAAUUUAUUUUUUAUUUUAUGUGCAUUGGUGUUGUGCCAUGGGUGUCAGUCCCUGAAGCCAGAAUUUACAAAAGUCUUUAUUAUAGGAAUUCAAUGGGAAAUACAGACUCAUGCAUACAGGACAAGGUGGAAGCCCCUGUGGAUCCAGCUUCCGUGUCCUGCUGUUCUGCCCAGAGCAGAUGUGAACAACCCCAAGGCUUCUGCUCCAACCUCACAAGAGAGCGAGCGAGACCCCCUCCUCUUUCUUAUAAGAGAUCACAUCCGCACACAGAAGUCACACCCAAACUAUUGGCAGAAUGAAUUCCCACAUUUCCCCCUUUUGUGGGUGGGAUGAGCCUUGUUUGUGGAAUGAGCCUUAUGGUUUGGUCCUUACGGAGUGAUGUUGGUUUUUCAUCUUGGGAACCACUGUGAGGAAACAACUGAGUUCGGGGCUCUA